GUGUCAGCAGCCGCGGUAAGACGAACCGUGCGAACGUUGUUCGGAAUCACUGGGCUUAAAGGGCGCGUAGGCGGGCCGCCAAGUCCGCGGUGAAAUCCCCCGGCUCAACCGGGGAACUGCCGCGGAUACUGGAGGUCUCGAGGGGGGUAGGGGCAUGCGGAACUACGGGUGGAGCGGUGAAAUGCGUUGAUAUCCGUAGGAACUCCGGUGGCGAAGGCGGCGUGCUGGACCCCUUCUGACGCUGAGGCGCGAAAGCCAGGGGAGCGAACGGGAUUAGAUACCCCGGUAGUCC
rnacentral:rRNA from 1 species